rnacentral:siRNA from 1 species
AGGCAUCGUGUAAUUCCCUGGUUC